UAGUAAUUCAUAUUCCUCAUUCAUUAGGUCUUGAUGUGUUAUUGUAAUCCUAACUAAUAAAGAGGGAAUAUGCUAAUUGAGUGUCAUGCCCUCAAAGAUGGUGGUGCCCAGUCCCAUUGGGGUGGCAGGUGCAUGGCAAGGCCAGGCCCGCUUGCCUCCGGAGUCCCCUAGUCCCCUCAGCCCCCCCAGCCGCCCAGGGCCACCCGAGGCUCAGGUAACCAGGGCUGGCUGAGGCUUGCGCUGCUGGCAGUAGCAGCAGCAGAGGUGUGAUGGGGGCAUCGCCUUCACCUGAUCGCCGGGUCGCCUCCUGCCCCUGAGGGCUCCCAGACUGUGAGAGGGGUCAGGCCGGGCUGAGGGACACCCCCCUCCAGUGCAUGAAUUUUCAUGCAGCAGGUCUCUAGUGUUAUAUACAUAUAUAUAUAUAGCUAAUAUGCAAAGUGUCCCUCGGGAGUUCAACCUGGAGACUGGGAGUUCAAUCGCUCACUAUGAUGUGCACUGACCACCAGGGGGCGGCAUGGAACGAAGGGAGGCCUGGCCAGCCCUGAUCGCUGACCAGGCCUAGAGACCCUACCUGUGCACAAAUUUCGUUCACCGGGCCUCUACUCUAGUCUGUUUGAUAAUUAUGUCUCUGAUGGUUUUUGACAAACAUUUUACAAGCUCACUACACGAACAACAGUAGAGUAAAUAUCUCUGUGACUUUCUUAAAGCCAUCUAUUAGAUCCAGUCCAUUUUUAAGGGGCAUCUAACCCUUGAAAUAAAUGCUUGGCCACUGUUAAUGUCUUAGGGCCUCUAGACUAUUGAGAGGUUAUAGCUUAAACUUGAGUCACGCAUUGUAUAUUUGCUUUAACUGGUCUUUCCCUCCUUUUUAUCUGAAGUUCAGUUGUUAAACCAGGAUGGAAAAUUAGCUGCAUAUAAAGGCUUCAUCCCUGUGCUCUUGCCUGCCCUUUUAAGAGGAUUGCAAGUGUUUAAAAAUAGGUCUGAUGAGUUAGGAAACUCCUACCUCUCAGUCAGUUGGCAAAGCAUCACUGGGCACCACUUAGUGCCCAUGCCAUUUGAGUUUCCUGUGGCACUCAGCAACCACAGCGGUGCAUUGUGGGGGCUGUAGGUAACCAUGAGGGUGUGCUCUUUGGAGAUGGCAUGCUAGCAUGAGAGUGAAACACUAAACUUAACAUGGGCAUCUGAUCUGGCCACAUUGAAGGGCCCUGAGGUUGGUGGGCAGGAUGAGCCAAAAGGUAUUUCCAGCAGACUCUCCAACUGCCCACCUGACAGUGAAAAUGUCUUUCUUUGUCGGUGGCAUUUAGGAAAAUGUGAAAGAAUUCCUCUUGAUAAUAAUUGAACAGCAUAAGAAGAGCAGGCAGAGGCAAGAGUUUGUUUGUGUUGCUUUUGCUCAUUACUCCAGAUAAGACUCAUUCAGAAUCACCAGAGUUCGUAUUUACAACUGAAGUGAGGAUACUUGUGACCAAGAGAAGGGACCCCAGCGAUUGUCAGUAUCUGCAAAGUGGCUUUUGGGGCAAAUGUCCACUUUGAUAAUAGUAUACACUGAGUAGUUUUGGUGAUAUUGCUGGUAGCCUUCUUAGCAAACAGUGUGAUAGCAAAUAAUGAAUUUGAAACAAAUGGAAGUACUUUAAGGAGUUGCAGAAGCUAAAGUGAUUUUGAUCACCAUUGUCAUGGGUCUUCAAACUGGUCCCCUGAAGGAUGGAGAAUUUGUGAUCAUUAACACUAGCCCUGCCAUGGUGAUAGCUGAACUU